UACGAAGGGGGCUAGCGUUGCUCGGAAUCACUGGGCGUAAAGGGUGCGUAGGCGGGUUUUUAAGUCAGAGGUGAAAUCCUGGAGCUCAACUCUAGAACUGCCUUUGAUACUGAGAAUCUUGAGUACGGGAGAGGUGAGUGGAACUGCGAGUGUAGAGGUGAAAUUCGUAGAUAUUCGCAAGAACACCAGUGGCGAAGGCGGCUCACUGGCCCGGUACUGACGCUGAGGUGCGAAAGCGUGGGGAGCAAACAGG
rnacentral:rRNA from 1 species